GGUAUGCACUGGCUCGCUGACUCCUCCUUCUUGUAGAACCGUAAUGCCAUUAAUUUGGUGUUGCGGGGAAACAGGACUGUUACUUUGAAAAAAUUAGAGUGUUUAAAGCAGGCCAACGCCUGAAUACAUUAGCAUGGAAUAAUGAAAUAGGACGUUCGAACCUAUUUUGUUGGUUUCUAGGAUUGACGUAAUGAUUAAUAGGGAUAGUUGGGGGCAUUAGUAUUCAAUUGUCAGAGGUGAAAUUCUUGGAUUUAUAGAAGACUGACUACUGCGAAAGCAUUUGCCAAGGAUGUUUUCAUUAAUCAAGAACGAAAGUUAGGGGAUCGAAGACGAUCAGAUACCGUCGUAGUCUUAACCAUAAACUAUGCCGACUAGGGAUCGGAUGAUGUUAAUUUUUUAAUGACUCAUUCGGCGCCUUAGG
rnacentral:rRNA from 1 species